UUCUCUGUUUCUCUCACUAGAUUAUCUAUCUAUCUAUAUAUAUGUUUGGAUGAGAUUUUGAAACGUAUAGGGAACAUGGAGGGGUCAUAUUUUUGAUGGGGUAGUAACAAGUUUUUAUCCAACAAUUGGUCAAAAGUGUUUUUUUUUCCUUCAAAGAACUUGUCGUUUGGUCCCGUUCUAGAGCGAGUGGUCUCAAUGAAAGGCAUGAAUAUAUAGCCUCUCGAUCGUUUAGACAUCACAUGACAAACGUUACUGUUCCCACGUAAAAAAACAUAAUCAGAACAUCACAACGAUCUGUAAUGACUUGAGUCUUGCCUGUCAUAUGUUCUUUCUUCUGCUUUAAGUAAUUACAUCACCUGUCACUUCCAGUACUAUUGCACAAUGAGAAUUCCUCAAGUAAAGAGUUUAAAUCCCACCAAAAAAUAAUUGAGUACUAUUAUUAAUUUUCGCUCUCUUUUCACCGGCUAUGCCCAUGCCUCAAGAAAGCAUUUCGUCGUCUCUUUUUUUUUUUUUUUGUCGUAAUUUGAUAACGAUGACUUUUACAAACAUGGAUUAGUUAUUCGAUGCCCCGUUCAUAACAUAUGGAAUGGGGUUUAGAACAUGGACCCAGAAAACAAUAAACUGCCUCUAGAAAACUACAAGUCAUCAAACCAUGUUUUACAAACAUGGAUUAGUUAUUCGAUGCUACAUCUAAAAUACAGAGUGGUGGAGAUAAUUAACACAACCAUAUAGAAUCUUAUGUUAUGUCUUUGACUUCUCAGCAAUCUCUUUAGUAUAAACAA